AUCUGUGUGAAUAUAGAUCUGAUUAUGAAGCGCAUUGUUGUGCUGAAUGUCUAGAUGAUUAACUUCAUGGAAUAUCUGAAUGUCUGGAUGAUUUCUCGACUUGGUCUGGGUUGGAAAUGAACCGAGAAAAUACUGAGAUUUUUACUGUUGGAUUGAACCAAAGUGAAUCCUUAGCCAUUGAUUGCUUCGGAUGCUCUACUUGUACUCUCCCAAUAUGGUAUUAUCUAGAAUUGUCUCUCAUGAACAGAAAAUUGAAGAUAUCAGAAAAUGCAGCUUUAUUAAACAACAUCAGAUCCAAAUUUAAUAUGUGGACACCCAUGACACUAUCUUUCUCUGGUCGUUUACGGUUGCUCUUCUUGGUCAUUACUGGUUUUGUAUGCUUUUGGAUCUCAAUUUUUGUGCUGCCCAAAAGAUGCAUUGUUCGAAUUGAAUGAAUGUGCCCUCCCUUCUUUUGGUCAUGUAAUAUUGACACAUCCAGAGUGGUUAAAGUAGUGUGGACAACGGUCUGCCUACCAAAGGAAGGUGGUCUCGGUAUGAGCGGUAUGAGAAUCUCUAAGUUUAGAAUCGUGUAUUAUAACUUGAACUGUGUCCGGUGUCCCAUUUACUGAGAUGAUUAAUAUUAAAAGAAAAACGUAAGUUUUAUUUAGUUUUGUUUAGAAAGACUAAUGACAUUUUGGUUGAAGUAAAGAUUAAGGAAACAUAAGAUUUGGUUGAUAUAUAAGAAGUAUUGUCAUCGAGAAAAGUAAGAGAGAGAAAAGCAGAGAAAAAAGUAGAUCGAGAUCUUCCCUCUCCGGUGUCCGACGAUCUUUGCUGGCGCCGUGAGAGGGUGGGUUACUGUCUUUUGUUCUGAUUUAGGAGGCGUGAAGAUUGUGAUUUUCUGGUGAGUCGCGUUUGGAUUGGUUUGUUUAUGUCGGUUCCUAUCUAGUUUCUGGUACGCGGUGGUUGUACUCAGCCGGUUCAGAUGUGGAUGCUUAAGUUUUCUCGGAUCUGGUCAGACAACCUUCCAAGCGAGGCAUCAGAAGUCAUAGGUCUUCCUAUCAUCUUCACUGCCUUUUGUCCUUUGCGUUCUUUUAGUGAGAAGAACUCUUAUUUCUUUAAAACGGCCGGUUAUCUUCUCCGGCGACCUGGCUUCCGUGUAUCGGGCUUCGACUCUGGCUUAUGGUGGCUACUUUAGCAUUGUUCGUUCCCGGUGGAUUAGCGGAUUUGAAUUUACGCCGGUCACUUUCUAGUCAUGAAGUUCGAUGGUGCUCUUGAUUCAGGUAACACGCUAAAGGUUAACGCAUGGAUGUGGGUUGAAUGGAUUGCGUUGGGCUUUAUUUUGUUUGGAAUUUAUGGGCCUCUUUGUUUAAUGUUCGUUUUGUUGCUAGCCGAGAUUUAUGGACUUUGUAUUUGUAUAACUUCGGUCGGUUUAUGGGCUUUAGCCUCGUAAUAAUAUAGAUGACAAAAAAAAAAAAAGUAUUGUCAUCAUUGCAUCAAAACAAUUGAAUUAACAUAUCAUCGAAACGGAAAGAGAAACAAAUAAAUAAAAUGUGAUACCUCGUGUCCAGUGCGAUGUCCACACAAUUACAAAUUAUAAAUUCUUCACAGAUAAAAAAAAAAAA